rnacentral:rRNA from 1 species
CCUACGGGUGGCAGCAGUGGGGAAUAUUGGGCAAUGGGCGCAAGCCUGACCCAGCAACGCCGCGUGAAGGAAGAAGGCUUUCGGGUUGUAAACUUCUUUUCUCAGGGACGAAGCAAGUGACGGUACCUGAGGAAUAAGCCCCGGCUAAAUACGUGCCAGCAGCCGCGGUAAUACGUAUGGGGCAAGCGUUAUCCGGAUUUACUGGGUGUAAAGGGAGCGUAGGCGGCAGGGCAAGCCUGAUGUGAAAGCCCGGGGCUCAACCCCGGGACUGCAUUGGGAACUGCCCCGCUCGAGUGCCGGAGGGGCAGGCGGAAUUCCUAGUGUAGCGGUGAAAUGCGUAGAUAUUAGGAGGAACACCAGUGGCGAAGGCGGCCUGCUGGACGGUGUACUGACGCUGAGGCUCGAAAGCGUGGGGAGCAAACAGGAUUAGAUACCCCUGUAGUC